UGCAAAAAAUAAAUAAAUAAAUGAAAGCUCCUAAAUAGAACAUGAAAGCAAACUAAGAAUUGACAAGCAAUAUUUAAUAAAAAUUAAAAAUAGAAAGUCCCAAACUAAAAAACACUGGACCAUGACACGUUAGGAAACACUGAACUACCAUCACAACACUACAUGUUCACAUCACUAUUAAAAUUACACAGUAAUUCUUCAUUUUCAGACAGAAUGACUACUUUAACUUUUAAUACUUUUUGUGUAUUUUGCAGAUAAUCAAAAAAUUGUAAAUAUGGUAAAGAGUCAAGAAUAAAAACAUCAGUGUAGCAACAUGAUUAUUGGUGUCUUUGCACAGCGCAUACUUUGGAGCUGAUAUUCUAACCAUUACAGAGGUGCUGAAUGCAGUAAAAUACAGUUGAAGUUGUUUAGUUGGUUCGUUAGGUAGUUAGUCUCAGUGUACUCAGUUUUUGUUUGUACCUGUUCGGGCAGUUUUGUGUGUCACUCAGCUCUCAGCACCUUUGUGUGUGAAAGUUAUUAUUAAGUUCAGCGUCUGUGCAGCACAGAAGGAUCAGGAUCCCCACCCACAUCCUUUUAAUGCAGUGUUUACAUUAAGUUAUUUUAACAUUUACUUGAGUCCCACACAGGUGAAGCCUCUCACAGGUACACUGCAGUGUUGAUGUGCAGUGAAACUUUUUUAUUUGAAUUUUCUCCAUGUUUUCAGGUCUGCUCGGGUAUUUAGAAGCAGCUUUACAUUACUUGUCAUUUGUGACUUAAACUAUAGGGUGCAUACAAAUAUUAAUAAACAGUUUAUUGGUUUUAACUAUAUAAAACAGCAUCUUAGGAUUUACUGUGUUCAAGAUGGUGCAGUGAUUAUUAUGGUUCCCUCUCAGCAACAAGGAUCCAGUCAGAGGGAGUUGUGUGCUCUGUACUCUGGCUUCGUUCCACUCUGUCAAAGAGCCAUGUGACAGGUCAGUGACCUGUCCAGAGUCUGUUGCCCUGUGACCAUUAAAUGCAGAGUCAGAACAUAAAGUAAACUGACUGAAAUGAGUUUGUGAACUUGGAAAACCAACCAACAUGUAAUAAAAGGUACAGAGGGAAUAUUCUUAGUUUUAUUAUCUGUUAGUUUGGUAAAAAUCUUAUUACAGUGUGUCUGAUGAGGCUUUGGUGUUUACCUAGUCUCCGGAUGUCUACAACACUGAGUCGGCUGCUUUCAGAAGGUUCUGUGUUGUUAUUGUAAUGUCUGUACCGAUUUUCUAAAUCCUACCUCUGACAUAUGCCCCCCAUACAAUAAUAAUAAAAAAAAUAAAAUUAAUACUGAAACUAAUAAAGACUAAACAAUAUAAACAAACAACAAGAAAAUUUACUCAGGAAACAAACUGAAACUAAACAGUAAUAAAAAAAUAAAUGAAAAUACAUUCUAAGUAGAAAAUACAAAGUUACAAUGUGGAGGCUGGGCUGCUAACUUAUGAGCUGACCCUGUAGUAGUUAAACUGUACUACACUAACACUAGAUCAGCAGGUUGUGUUCAUAAAGUGCACGGGUAACUGCUUAUUUGUGCCAGCAGAUCAAUAAAACACAAAACUCGACCUCAAACUUGUUUGUGUUCAGAUUCUCUCUCUUCUGUCAGGUGGAGAGGUGUUCAGAUUCCUCAUGUCUCCACCUGUGAGUGAAACUACUCUUCCUUAGCUUGCUUUCAUCCAUCUGGAGCUCAUAGCUCAUCAUUAGCACCGACCGUUUCUCAGCUCACAGAAGCACACCUGCUCCCCAGUCUCCACUCAACCUUCUAUCAUCUCCAGAUUCCAGCCUGAUCCCCUGUGUCCCCUCUCUCUUCUCAAUCUAAUCUAACUCCAAACCUGAAGUGGAUGCUGAACACACCCUGUUUGCGUGCCUGCUGUUUCUGAGGAAAACUUACCCGAGGCUGCCGUCAGAGUUGUUGUUUGGUUUUAUGGCUUUUCUUCAGAAACUCAUAUUUAAAUUAAUUCAGCGUCUCACGCCAACCCGAGAAUAUAUUUCAUGUGUUUCCUUUUAAUAAAGGAUGGAUCCUUUCUCAGUUUCUCUUUUCUUUCACUUUUUAAUUCUUUUUUUCAUGGGUUUAAUUUUUCCUUUUGCUAAUUGAUGAUCUGAAAACAUACCUGAUGAAACAGGACUGCAGUGAACCAAACAUGUCAUUACUGAUAUUUACAAGUGCAAAGACUCCUGGGACAGUUCAUGUUUACCUCUGAAGCUGUUAUCAGUGUUAAUGUUUGAUGUCCUCACUGCUGCAGAUUAUAAAACUGCCUAAUGCUAAUAUGUUUCUGAGCGCUGUGUCCAGACCUGAUAUGAAACAACGACAAGUGUUGCAACACAACCUGUUCGUGUGGUUGAUGUUUCUGAAGAGUAGCCUGAGGGUGCGCUCUUAAUUAAUGUGUGGGUUUGUGGCUUUUCUUCAGAAACAGGACUUGGCACUGCUGCGGUGUGUGACUGUUAACCAAACAAUCUUAUUACAGAUUUUGCAAGAAGAAAAUACUGCUGCAAAGGUGAUACAAAGGCUUUUGAAAUUAUUUUUGUAAAUAUCUUAGAAAUAUUUUAUCUAACCUGAUACUUACUCUCGAUGGCAUUACCCCAGCCUCCAGUAACACUGUGAGGAACAUUUGUGUCAUUGUUGAG